CCUACGGGAGGCUGCAGUGGGGAAUAUUGGACAAUGGGGGGAACCCUGAUCCAGCCAUGUCGCGUGUGUGAAGAAGGCCCUCGGGUUGUAAAGCACUUUCAGUGAGGAAGAACGCCUGGUGGUUAAUACCCAUCAGGAAAGACAUCACUCACAGAAGAAGCACCGGCUAACUCCGUGCCAGCAGCCGCGGUAAUACGGAGGGUGCGAGCGUUAAUCGGAAUUACUGGGCGUAAAGCGCGCGUAGGUGGCUUGAUAAGCCGGUUGUGAAAGCCCCGGGCUCAACCUGGGAACGGCAUCCGGAACUGUCAAGCUAGAGUGCAGGAGAGGAAGGUAGAAUUCCCGGUGUAGCGGUGAAAUGCGUAGAGAUCGGGAGGAAUACCAGUGGCGAAGGCGGCCUUCUGGACUGACACUGACACUGAGGUGCGAAAGCGUGGGUAGCAAACAGGAUUAGAUACCCGGGUAGUC
rnacentral:rRNA from 1 species